AUCCAAAGAAAUCAUUGAAAAAACUUAGGAUUCUCUUAAGUCAAUUGGGUAUAAUUGAUUGAGGUAGAGCAGCUGGUUAUAGCUGGAUACUUUGUGAUCUUGGUUUAAGAUCAUAAAGGGUCUUUGAUCUGGGCUUAGAUCAAAGGGAAGUUUUCUGUAAUCUUGGUCUAGAUUAUAGUGGAUAAUCUCACGCAAGUGGGGACUGGAGUUGCCCAUACUAUUAAGGGGUGAACCAGGAUAAAUUCUUUGUGUGAUCUUUUCUUCCCUUACUCUUUUAUUUGUGCAAACACUAACUCACACAAAUCACUAUAUUGCACUUACAUUCGAGGAGAACGUUCUCCAGUUAAUCUAACCAUUUACUAUCGUAGUGUGUUAUUGUGCUUAAAUUGUUUUGCAGUUAAAUUUUUAAAGGGUCACAAUUCAAACCCCCCUUUCUUGCGACGAACAUUGUUACUUCAAUUGGCAUCAGAGCACUGCCUCUAAAAGCUAAGCAUCUAACAA
rnacentral:lncRNA from 1 species